UACGUAGGGUGCGAGCGUUGUCCGGAAUUAUUGGGCGUAAAGAGCUCGUAGGCGGUCUGUCGCGUCGAUCGUGAAAACUUGGGGCUUAACCCUGAGCUUGCGGUCGAUACGGGCAUGACUGGAGUUCGGCAGGGGAGACUGGAAUUCCUGGUGUAGCGGUGAAAUGCGUUGAUAUCAUCAGGAACACCGGUGGCGAAAGCGGCUUACUGGGUCUCUUCUGACGCUGAGGAACGAAAGCUAGGGUAGCGAACGGG
rnacentral:rRNA from 1 species